AACGAACGCUGGCGGCAGGCUUAACACAUGCAAGUCGAGCGCCUCGCAAGAGGAGCGGCAGACGGGUGAGUAACGCGUGGGAACGUACCCUUAUCUUCGGAAUAGCUCUGGGAAACUGGAAGUAAUACCGAAUGUGCCCUUAGGGGGAAAGAUUUAUCGGAUAAGGAUCGGCCCGCGUUGGAUUAGCUAGUUGGUGGGGUAAAGGCCUACCAAGGCGACGAUCCAUAGCUGGUCUGAGAGGAUGAUCAGCCACAUUGGGACUGAGACACGGCCCAAACUCCUACGGGAGGCUGCAGUGGGGAAUAUUGGACAAUGGGCGCAAGCCUGAUCCAGCCAUGCCGCGUGAGUGAUGAAGGCCUUAGGGUUGUAAAGCUCUUUCACCGGAGAAGAUAAUGACGGUAUCCGGAGAAGAAGCCCCGGCUAACUUCGUG
rnacentral:rRNA from 1 species